GCAUAUCAAUAAGCGGAGGAAAAGAAACCAACCGGGAUUGCCUUAGUAACGGCGAGUGAAGCGGCAAAAGCUCAAAUUUGAAAUCUGGUACCUUCGGUGCCCGAGUUGUAAUUUGGAGAGGGCAACUUUGGGGCCGUUCCUUGUCUAUGUUCCUUGGAACAGGACGUCAUAGAGGGUGAGAAUCCCGUGUGGCGAGGAGUGCGGUUCUUUGUAAAGUGCCUUCGAAGAGUCGAGUUGUUUGGGAAUGCAGCUCUAAGUGGGUGGUAAAUUCCAUCUAAAGCUAAAUAUUGGCGAGAGACCGACAGCGAACAAGUACAGUGAUGGAAAGAUGAAAAGAACUUUGAAAAGAGAGUGAAAAAGUACGUGAAAUUGUUGAAAGGGAAGGGCAUUUGAUCAGACAUGGUGUUUUGUGCCCUCUGCUCCUUGUGGGUAGGGGAAUCUCGCAUUUCACUGGGCCAGCAUCAGUUUUGGUGGCAGGAUAAAUCCAUAGGAAUGUAGCUUGCCUCGGUAAGUAUUAUAGCCUGUGGGAAUACUGCCAGCUGGGACUGAGGACUGCGACGUAAGUCAAGGAUGCUGGCAUAAUGGUUAUAUGCCGCCCGUCUUGAAACACGGACCA
rnacentral:rRNA from 1 species